GAUGAACGCUAGCUGGAGGCUUAAUACAUGCAAGUCGAGCGGGAUUGGGUAGCAAUACCCAUGAGAGCGGCGCACGGGUGAGUAACGCGUACACGACCUACCUCUAACAGGGGGAUAGCCCUGGGAAACUGGGAUUAAUACCGCAUAUUAUUCUGAAUAAUAAAGGUUUGGAAUGAAAGCUGAGGCGGUUAGAGAUGGGUGUGCGUCUGAUUAGCGAGUUGGUAGGGUAACGGCCUACAAAGGCGAUGAUCAGUAGGGGGCGUGAGAGCGUGGUCCCCCACCCGUGUACUGAGGCACGGACCCGACUCCUACGGGAGGCAGCAGUAAGGAAUAUUGGUCAAUGGGCGAAAGCCUGAACCAGCCAUCCAGCGUGCAGGAAGAAGGCCCAAUGGGUUGUAAACUGCUUUUAUCAGGGAAGAAACCUCUGGAUUUACUCCGGAGCUGACGGUACCUGAAGAAUAAGCACCGGCUAACUCCGUGCCAGCCGCCGCCGUAAUAC
rnacentral:rRNA from 1 species